UACGUAGGGUGCGAGCGUUGUCCGGAAUACUGGGCGUAAAGCGUGCGCAGGCGGUGAUGUAAGACAGAUGUGAAAUCCCCGGGCUCAACCUGGGAACUGCAUUUGUGACUGCAUCGCUGGAGUACGGCAGAGGGGGAUGGAAUCCGCGUGUAGCAGUGAAAUGCGUAGAUAUGCGGAGGAACACCGAUGGCGAAGGCAAUCCCCUGGGCCUGUACUGACGCUCAUGCAGAA
rnacentral:rRNA from 1 species